rnacentral:rRNA from 1 species
GUCGCGUGAGGGAAGACGGUCCUAUGGAUUGUAAACCUCUUUAGGCGGGGAGCAAUGCCGGGCACGCGUGCCCGGAGGGAGAGUACCCGCAGAAUAAGCAUCGGCUAACUCCGUGCCAGCAGCCGCGGUAAUACGGAGGAUGCGAGCGUUAUCCGGAUUUAUUGGGUUUAAAGGGUGCGUAGGCGGAUUUUUAAGUCAGCGGUAAAAUGUCCGGGCUCAACCCGGGCCGGCCGUUGAAACUGGGGAUCUUGAGUGGGCGAGAAGUAUGCGGAAUGCGUGGUGUAGCGGUGAAAUGCAUAGAUAUCACGCAGAACUCCGAUUGCGAAGGCAGCAUACCGGCGCCCGACUGACGCUGAGGCACGAAAGCGUGGGGAUCGAACAGGAUUAGAUACCCUGGUAGUCCACGCAGUAAACGAUGAAUGCUAGUUGUCCGGUUCUUUGGGACUGG